CAGCCACCUCCAGGACGAUGUGGCUCACAGACAGGCAGCCUCAUUGCUGAGCACUGUGAUUUUUUUUCAGCAACCAGGCAGCUUGUUUAAACCACCACAGAGCAGGGACAGAGCCUGCAAGAAGCUGAGGGUUCAUUUUGCAUGAAUGAAAGUCCCGAGAAAAAAGCAGUUUUACCACAGAAAUAUACUCCCAAGAUGGUUGUUGAACUGAAGAUCAGGACAAACACUCUUGGCACUCACUGAGGAGCAGCUCUAGGGCUGCUCUGGGUACACUCCUCUCCCAAGAAGAAGAGAAGCUGGUGGGCACUCAGGCUUUCAUGUUGACCUCUGCUCUACACAAACUUAAAUCUGUUUUACAUCAGAAGCUGCAGGGACGGAAGAGUACAUGGGAAAAGAACAUGUCUGAGAGUUUAGAGAGGACCAGCUAAAUUUUUUGAGCUCCAGUGGGAUUGGUGACAUAACUAAAAAGCAACAAACAGCAGGUGAGAGGGAGGAUUUAAAUAUAAAUAAGGACACUUUGAAGCCAUAAGUUUUUAUUGAUCACAUUCACAUUUAC
rnacentral:lncRNA from 1 species